UUCUAUACACAUUCAGUAAAUUACAUACUUAUAAAUGACUCAUUUAUAAUAGCUGCAGGCUGACAGCAACAGUGAAAACUCAGGUUUUUUUUACUUGUCCUUUUUGAUGUGUUUUUGGUUUUUUUUUAUUUGAGCAGCUGAUGAUCUUGAACUACUUGUUGACAGAAGUCAAAAAAGGAGCAGUUUCUGGCCUUGAAAAGAUACCCUUUGUUUUCAUGCAGACGGAUUUGUAGAAACACACAUUCUUUCACAAAGAUCAAGAUGUCUCACUAUAAAAAAUCAUCUAAGGACUACAAAGGAUGAUGAUGUGACAAAAGCAGCAAAUUCCUUUGAAAUCCUCUGGGUUGAGGAAUGAUGAAACACAAGACAAAGCUCUUAUCUGUCAGGAAUUUUAAAGCACAUCACCUUUUCAUUUUUGUACAGAAGUAACAUAUAUUGAUGAUAAGCCACAAGAUCUGCUCCAAACAUGUGGAAAGGCUUCAGUGUGGACAGUUUUACUUCCAGCUAUAAUGUAAAUGCUGAAGCUGAGAAUGAGGGUAUGGAAAUUCAUUAAGACUGGAGUUGGAGUCAAUCCUGUGGACUUAGGCUGAAGCAGGUGAAUUUUCCAGCCUUAUCUACUUCAUCAGUAUAUUGCAUGGGAACUGCUGAGUCACGGCCUGAACCACUGAUUGAUCACCUGUGGCAAAGACUGGUUCAGCCAUGGGAGCACAGGUGAAGGCAAUUCAGCCUUCCAUCCUAGAUCACAUUUAAGGGCUGACUAACGAUCUCUUUUUGGAGAUUCUUUCUUUGUGGAGCUUUUCAUUGCUAACCUAAAUCUUCAGAUAUGGGUCUUCUCUGCAUGUUCCUUUGUUGUCCUACUAUGGUACUCUUUCCAAUUGUACUUUGUUGACUGUACAGUAGAUCUUAUGUUUAAAUAACAUUUGGUUUUCUAGAUAAUGUUUUAUUAACUUAAACCAUCAAAUAUGUUGCUGCUUACAAACUGUAGAUUUGUAGAUUACAUAGAAUUUAGACUCCUAUGUUUAUACUUGCAGUUUACUGCUCAUGUUAGAAGUGCUUUAUGAUUUAAAAAAACCGUAUGUGUUGGAAGUCUCUUCACUGGCAGGGAGGCUCUUCUGCUUUACAAGACAAUGUUGUGAUUGCGAAUCUUCCCUUUCCAUCAGUGUACUUUGCAAGACUGGAAGCAAACAGGUGUGGAGCUAAACAGGCAGAGAGGAGAAAUGUAAAGGGUAAUAUCCAGCGUGAGAGUAGAUGGAGUGUGUAAUGAUAAAGUAGGAUAUGCUGAUGGUAUUCAUGUAACCUUGAUCAUCAUCAGCUGGAAUAGUUCAACUCCUUAUAUCUUAAGAAGUUAAAUUAUGCUCAUUUGAACAAUAACCGGGAACUAUUAACAUCCACUUAUCAAGAGCUCUUCAUUCAUGUGCAGUUAAUUGCUUGUGUAAUGCUCUCAUCUAGGUUACUGAAAGACCUGAUUCUGGCCUAUGCUUCAGUGAAGGCUUAAAUGGGGAACAGUAGAAAGGAAGAUUCCAUAACAUGGUCUAUAGAAUUUCUAUACACCAUUACAUUCUGUACAAAGUAUAGGACACGGUGGAUGUAUCUCUGCUAUGAGAGGCAGUUCUGAUCAUUUCAUACGCUUUUGCUCACUGUGGAGUGAAGGCACGCUACCCUGUUCCUACUACAGUACAUAAACUUGUCCGUCAUCAUCGAAGUUAUAUCUCAUCAGGAAAAAAGACAAUUUACUGAGCUGAUAGAGAAGGUGUACCUUUUGUACCAGAAUAACUAUAAACCCUCUGAGUUAAUUACUACAUUUCUAGAUAUCUGAACUAAUUUUUAAGUACUGCUAUAAUGAACAAAAAGUGCAGAAGUCUUCACUGGUAAAAUACUAAAUCCUAACAACCUUAUAUGAAAUUGAGCAGUUAGCUCUUUUCUUUUGCCAAGGUGUUCUCUGGGGUAGCCAGUGAGAAAGUCAGAUUAAUAAUUGUUCCUUUCUUCUACUUCCAUGUGUUUCCUGUGCACCCUGAGAGAACCAGACCAUCCUUCCCUCAGUUUGUACAUUGCAGACAACCUUCAGAACAAAACAGCCCCUUUGACUUUACCCUGUUUUUUUCAGUAUAAUUUCCUUUCACAAAUUAAACUCCUAGCAUAGAAUAAAUAUGUUCUGAAAUUUGGAGCUUUUUAGAUCUGAAGAAAGUUUGAGGAGUUAGAAAACAGCUGAGCUGCCUCCCCACGUUUUGGAAGUUAUUACACAGGCAAGUCACAAAUCCUUUUGUUCUUUUCCACAAAAACAUAGUAGGUGAGUUUGCAAAAUUAAUGGCAGAAUUGUGCGAUGGUUGAUACAUUUCUCAUAUCUCAUGAACUUGAAGUCAGCCAGAUGACUUUUGAAGCUUUCAAAACCAUCCAUCUAUCAUGCUGAGUAUUGAUCUUUGUGCCUUGUAAGGUUUCCAGCAUGGAAAUGGAGCAUAAAAUAUUAUUUCAAUUAUUUGCCCUAAGCUACACCAACCUUUAGGUUUGUUGUUAAAUUUCAGGGGUUGAUCUAUGGGUCAUUCAAUAAUGAUGAAUUACCAAGCAUUUCCCGUUCCAGUUUAUUCCAGUUUUACCAGAGCUUGAAGCUAAAAUACAGAGUAAACACUGGUUUGAUAUACUUCUCUGUUCUUUUACAGUUUGCAUACACAGAACAGUAUUGCCAUCUUUGUGGCAUUCCUCUAGGAAGAAAUGGAAACUAAAUACUUUACUAAAUCUCUUAUGUGUCUCAUUUUCUUUUUCUUGUAGCUAAAGGAUCUUUUAUAUCUUACUUUUUUGCACCGGCUCUGUCUAUGGAUUCCUGUAUUACCUGGAGUUGUUGUCAUGCUGGCAGAAAUUAGGGUCUUCAGCGACAACUCUUUGUAGCAGUGCUUGGAUAUAUUACAGUUUUCAUGAGAAUCUGGAUGGGAAUUAAAACUAUCAUAGAAGGGAAAAUUCAGUGGGAGCAAAAGUACUGCCUCCCAAUGCCAUUCAUUUUUAUCCGUGGAACAGCAAACUGAGCUGGUCUGGAAGAAAUGCAUGUAUUAGCUGCUAUGUGAUGAGCUGGACUGGGUAAAGAGGAAGGUGGCAAAGAGCCAAAAACAAAUGACUGAGAAACUGCUGGUAUCAGUUAUCCAAGGUUGCUUAAGCAGUUUUACUAUUGAAUUUUUAGCCGUGGUUUCACAGUUCAGAGUUGAGAUUUCUGGCAGAUCAGAUUUCAGGUUUCUAUUCAAGGCAUUAUCAGAUACAUCUGGGUCCUGGAAACAAUCUGUCUGGGCUUGGUUUGGUUUGGCUGUUGCUGAAGCAGCAGGAGCUGGUUCACAGAACCAAAGGAUUGAAAAGGAAUCAGACUGAGCUUUAUAUGCUGACUUAUCUUAGUUAUGUUAUUUUUAGAAUGGGCUUAGUUUUGUGUUGGAUUUUGCAUGUACCUCACUGCCUAGCACAUUUUGCAGAAGAUAGAGUUAAAACAGAAAAUGUGCUUCUGCUAUUUACAGGAUGCAAAAACAAACAAACAAAACUGGUCCAAAAACAGACCAGUUGCACUUGCAAUGCUGGUAGAAAAGACCAUCUGUGUUGCAACAUCCACAUGAUAGCUUACUGUCACUCUGUAUAAACUCAGCUAUUUACUUGCACAAAUGUAAUUCAGACCAUUCAUUUGGUAAAUAUCACAGAUUUCCAUUGGAUAACGGAGAGUUGAUGAGGCUGAUUUAGUUGGACAUUUUAAUUAAUAGUUCAAAAAUGCCUUAGCGAAGGAGUAUCACCAUAUAAUCAAAUAUCCUAUGACUAUUCAUUGAGAUAGGAUUGUGUUUUGUUGUUAAGUCUUUCAGAAGUCCAAGAUCCUGUUUCAAUGGUCAGAAAACUACAUCUGUAUUUAUAGAGACAGGGAUAUACUAUAAAAAGGAAAAAAAAAGAAUUUUGGCUGGUUCAAAUAAAUGUCAUAGACUGGCAAGCAUAAUGAAAAUACUUCAUUUGCUCUACUAUUAAAAGUUAAUGAUGUGUGUAUAUAAUAACUUAAAAUCUAAUGUAUUGGAGUGCUGGCUAUGGAUUUACCAGAACAGCUGGAUCCAACAUUCAUGCUAAUUCAGAGCAGCUGGGUUUCCCUCUGUUGUUGUGAAUAGGUGGGAUUUAAAGGGGAGAAUGCUACCUAAUGCCAAAUGUAAUUUGCAAACUAUUGUAUCCUCUUGGGAUGUUCUGAUUGAAUUAAGAGGUCUCAGCUAGUUCAGUAGUUGCAGUGUAAUAGGUAACAAAAGACAUUGUUCAUCCUACUUCACUGUAAACAGUAUGUAGGAACUUAUGCUCAUUCAUUAAAUCUGCAAGAAAUUCCUAAAGCCCUAUCAGGAUUGUCUGAGCUUUAGAACUUAUCUUGGACACUGCAGUACACUAUAAAUGUAUCUAAGCAUUGGGCUGCCUCCAUGUGCUUUCAAAAAUGUUCUAGUUCAGGCAUUAAAAAAUCAUAUCAUAAAGAAAAUGUUUACUGUAUGACAAAAAAGCAAGAAAAAUAUGUUAUUCAUGAUGAUUAUCAGUGUCUAGUGGGGAAAAUCCUGUGCUUUAAAAUUCUACCAUUCUUACCUGCCAUCCUCGCUACAGGACUUCACCAUCUUUAAUACUUCCUGGAUUGAUUUAUCCCCAGAGCAAAUAUGAUUUUAUUAUUCCAUUUUUUUACAACCUUGAGUUCCUCUAGUUUUUUGGUUUUUUGGGGGUUUUUUUGAGUUGAAAUUUUUACCAUCUCUUCUUUCCUCUCUUCACUUGCCAUGUGCUUGAUGUUCAUGCUGUAAUUCAGUUUAGCCUUAUCAGACAUGUGGUCCCAUGAUAACAGUGGGGAAUAUCUUCAUUAUUAUUGUGAGUACAACAGACUACUUAUGGAGCUGUGUCUGCAUAUUUGUGGAGUUUGUCUAGUGUUAUCUGUCCUCUGCUAAUUAGAAUUUAGCUGACAGAGGCACAGAGUGAAAAGGAGGGAGGACAUUUUUUCUCUGACUGCUUACUUUAGUCAACUUUUAUAAUACAUCUAUGCUGCAGAUUGCAGCACAGAAGGGAUAUAUCUAAGUUCAGCUUCAAAUUAAAGUUCCUAGAUAACAGAAGCAAAUUAGCCAUUCAAAUAUAGCUUUGUGCAAGAUUCCCAAAGACAAUAAACUUG